AACGCUAGCUACAGGCUUAACACAUGCAAGUCGAGGGGCAGCACGGGAGUAGCAAUACAACUGGUGGCGACCGGCGCACGGGUGAGUAACGCGUAUGCAACCUACCUAUCAGAGGGGAAUAACCCGGCGAAAGUCGGACUAAUACCGCAUAAAACAGGGGCACCGCAUGGUGAUAUUUGUUAAAGAAAUUCGCUGAUAGAUGGGCAUGCGUUCCAUUAGGUAGUUGGUGAGGUAACGGCUCACCAAGCCGACGGUGGAUAGGGGAACUGAGAGGUUGGUCCCCCACACUGGUACUGAGACACGGACCAGACUCCUACGGGAGGCAGCAGUGAGGAAUAUUGGUCAAUGGGCGGGAGCCUGAACCAGCCAAGUCGCGUGAAGGAAGAAGGAUCUAUGGUUCGUAAACUUCUUUUGCAGGGGAAUAAAGUGCAGGACGUGUCCUGUUUUGUAUGUACCCUGAGAAUAAGGAUCGGCUAACUCCGUGCCAGCAGCCGCGGUAAUACGGAGGAUCCGAGCGUUAUCCGGAUUUAUUGGGUUUAAAGGGUGCGUAGGUGGUUUGAUAAGUCAGCGGUGAAAGUUUGCAGCUUAACUGUAAAAAUGCCGUUGAAACUGUCGGACUUGAGUGUAAAUGAGGUAGGCGGAAUGCGUGGUGUAGCGGUGAAAUGCAUAGAUAUCACGAAGAACUCCGAUUG
rnacentral:rRNA from 1 species